CUAACGUCGUUGGUUAGAAGAUUUACAACUUGACCUGAGGAAGUCUGACUCAAAGCUACCUUACUGAGUCUUAGUGCCUGUAAUAUGACUCUUUAUUGUCGUCGAAGUAAUUCAGAAUCCAAGACUGAAGAAUUGGCUGUAAAAUAGCUAAAAAUCCGUAGUAAAUUAAAGUUAACAAACCGAUGCACAAAUAUUCAAACCCAAAAGCACGGAGCAGAGCUUUCUCCAAAUGAGCAUCUACAAAAAUAUGCACGACGUCUCUUCUCUUCAGACAAUUUAAUUUGAGCUGUGAAAUCUUGUGAAGUACUUACUGUUCCAGUCGAU